CUCUAUACAAUACGAACAAGCCAACUUCCCGUGUGUACUUCAUCCAGCUAACAUACCAUAAGCUGGGAAGUCACUUAUAGUCCACAUAACCGUUGCCCUAAGGUUGAAAUGUGUUUUCGUUGAAACAUCCCAACUCUGUACUCCAUUCUCCCACAAUACCUUCAACUCGUCUAUAAGAGGUCUUAAGUAAACAUCUAAGUUCUUUUUAGGACUCUUAGGACUAGGAACCACGAGUGAAAGAAACAAGUAUUGUAAGACCCCAACUUUUAUGAAUAAAGAUUUAAUUUUCUCUAAAUAAUAUUUUGAAUAGUAAAGUGAUGAUUUGAUAUAAUGCUAUAAUUAUGAGUGAU
rnacentral:lncRNA from 1 species